AGCGAACGCUGGCGGCAGGCCUAACACAUGCAAGUCGAACGAAGCCUUCGGGCUUAGUGGCGGACGGGUGAGUAACACGUGGGAACGUACCUUUUGGUUCGGAAUAACGCAGAGAAAUUUGCGCUAAUACCGAAUGAGCCCUUCGGUGGAAAGAUUUAUCGCCGAAAGAUCGGCCCGCGUUGGAUUAGGUAGUUGGCGUGGUAAAGGCGCACCAAGCCUACGAUCCAUAGCUGGUCUGAGAGGAUGAUCAGCCACACUGGGACUGAGACACGGCCCAGGCUCCUACGGGAGGCAGCAGUGGGGAAUCUUGCGCAAUGGGCGAAAGCCUGACGCAGCCAUGCCGCGUGAAUGAUGAAGGUCUUAGGAUUGUAAAAUUCUUUUACCAGGGACGAUAAUGACGGUACCUGGAGAAAAAGCCCCGGCUAACUUCGUGCCAGCCGCCGCCGUAAGAC
rnacentral:rRNA from 1 species